rnacentral:rRNA from 1 species
AGAGUUUGAUUCUGGCUCAGAACGAACGCUGGCGGCGCGUUUAAGCAUGCAAGUCGAGCGGCAAGGGCCUUCGGGCCCCUAGAGCGGCGGACGGGUGAGUAACACGUGGACAAUCUGCCCCCGGCCCGGGAUAGCCCAGGGAAACCUGGAUUAAUACCGGAUGAGACGGGACCCGCGAUGGCGGGAUCCGGGAAAGGCGCUGCGGCGCCGCCGGGGGAUGAGUCUGCGUCCCAUUAGCUAGACGGCGGGGUAACGGCCCACCGUGGCGACGAUGGGUAGCCGGCCUGAGAGGGUGGACGGCCACAUUGGAACUGAGACACGGUCCAGACUCCUACGGGAGGCAGCAGCUAAGAAUCUUCCGCAAUGGGCGAAAGCCUGACGGAGCCGACGCCGCGUGAACGAAGAAGGCCGUGAGGUUGUAAAGUUCUUUUCGGGAGGGGGAACAACCGUGGCAGGGAAUGGCCGCGGGAUGACGUGAAUCCCGGAAUAAGCCCCGGCUAACUACGUGCCAGCCGCGGC